UCCUAGCUUGCUAGGAUGGAUUAGUGGCGCACGGGUGAGUAAUAUAUAGUUAAUCUGCCCUACACAGAGGAACAACAGUUGGAAACGGCUGCUAAUACCUCAUACUCCUAUUUGACAUAAGUUAAAUAGGGAAAGUCUUUUCGGUGUAGGAUGAGACUAUAUCGUAUCAGCUAGUUGGUAAGGUAAUGGCUUACCAAGGCUAUGACGCGUAACUGGUCUGAGAGGAUGAUCAGUCACAUUGGAACUGAGACACGGUCCAAACUCCUACGGGAGGCAGCAGUAAGGAAUAUUGCGCAAUGGGGGAAACCCUGACGCAGCAACGCCGCGUGGAGGAUGACACUUUUCGGAGCGUAAACUCCUUUUAUCAGGAAAGAAUAAUGACGGUACCUGAUGAAUAAGCACCGGCUAACUCCGUGCCAGCAGCCGCGGUAAUACGGGGGGUGCAAGCGUUACUCGGAAUCACUGGGCGUAAAGGACGCGUAGGCGGAUUAUCAAGUCUUUUGUGAAAUCUAGUGGCUUAACCACUAAACUGCUUAGGAAACUGAUAGUCUAGAGUAGGGGAGAGGUAGAUGGAAUUCUUGGUGUAGGGGUAAAAUCCGUAGAGAUCAAGAAGAAUACCCAUUGCGAAAGCGAUCUGCUGGAACCUAACUGACGCUGAGGCGUGAAAGCGUGGGUAGCAAACAGGAUUAGAUACCCUGGUAGUCCACGCCCUAAACGAUGUAUACUAGUUGUUGCUUUGCUAGUCAAGGCAGUAAUGCAGCUACGCAUUAAGUAUACCGCCUGGGGAGUACGUCGCAAGAUUA
rnacentral:rRNA from 1 species